rnacentral:rRNA from 1 species
GACGAACGCUGGCGGCGUGCUUAACACAUGCAAGUCGUACGGUAAGGCCCUUUCGGGGGUACACGAGUGGCGAACGGGUGCGUAACACGUGAGUAACCUGCCCACAACUUUGGGAUAACGCUAGGAAACUGGUGCUAAUACUGGAUAUGUGCUCCUGCUGCAUGGUGGGGGUUGGAAAGCUCCGGCGGUUGUGGAUGGACUCGCGGCCUAUCAGCUUGUUGGUGGGGUAGUGGCCUACCAAGGCGGCUACGGGUAGCCGGCCUGAGAGGGUGACCGGCCACAUUGGGACUGAGAUACGGCCCAGACUCCGACGGGAGGCAGCAGUGGGGAAUAUUGCACGAGGGGCGCAAGCCGGAUGCAGCAACGCCGCGUGCGGGAUGACGGCCUUCGGGUUGUAAACCGCUUUCAGCAGGGACGAAGCUUUUUGUGACGGUACCUGCAGAAGAAGCACCGGCUAACUACGUG